UUUUAGCUGGGCGAAGCCUGACCGCAAUGCCGCGUGCAGGAAGAAGGCCUUCGGGUUGUAAACUGCUUUUGUACGGAACGAAACGGUCUGCCCUAAUACGGCGGGCUAAUGACGGUACCGUAAGAAUAAGCACCGGCUAACUACGUGCCAGCAGCCGCGGUAAUACGUAGGGUGCGAGCGUUAAUCGGAAUUACUGGGCGUAAAGCGUGCGCAGGCGGUUAUGUAAGACAGUUGUGAAAUCCCCGGGCUCAACCUGGGAAUUGCAUCUGUGACUGCAUAGCUAGAGUACGGUAGAGGGGGAUGGAAUUCCGCGUGUAGCAGUGAAAGGCGUGGAUAUGCGGAGGAACACCGAUGGCGAGGGCAAUCCCCUGGACCUGUACUGACGCUCAUGCACGAAAG
rnacentral:rRNA from 1 species